rnacentral:rRNA from 1 species
GUGGGGAAUCUUGCGCAAUGGGCGAAAGCCUGACGCAGCCAUGCCGCGUGAAUGAUGAAGGUCUUAGGAUUGUAAAAUUCUUUCACCGGGGACGAUAAUGACGGUACCCGGAGAAGAAGCUCCGGCUAACUUCGUGCCAGCAGCCGCGGUAAUACGAAGGGGGCUAGCGUUGCUCGGAAUUACUGGGCGUAAAGGGCGCGUAGGCGGACAGCUUAGUCAGAGGUGAAAGCCCAGGGCUCAACCUUGGAAUUGCCUUUGAUACUGGGUGUCUUGAGUAUGAGAGAGGUGUGUGGAACUCCGAGUGUAGAGGUGAAAUUCGUAGAUAUUCGGAAGAACACCAGUGGCGAAGGCGACACACUGGCUCAUUACUGACGCUGAGGCGCGAAAGCGUGGGGAGCAAACAGGAUUAGAAACCCGAGUAGUCC